rnacentral:tRNA from 1 species
GAGGGGGAGUUAAAUCAACAAGAGCUGCUAAUUCUUGCGCCUGGGCUUUAAACCCCAGCCCCCUUA